UUGUCUACCUCAUGUACAGUUUGCACGUUAUCAAUCAGAUAUCCCCAUUUACUUGUAUCCCCAUUUACUCAGUGCUGGUUAACUGAGGCUCUUAAGUGUAACGAUGAAUAUGCCAGUAACAAACAUGGCGGCAUGAGCGCCAGCUGAUUAAAUAAGUUAUAUACUUUGAAGUAUAUGUUGGGAUGUUGUGGCUGGCAUCAUGCCGGGCGUGGGGCGCUGGAAUUCGGCACUCCAGUUUGUGGGGUCGGUCUCUCACUUCGGGGCCUGGGUCGGACCCCUGGCCGGAGGGCACGGUAGACAGAUUUGGGGGAGUGAGCGUACGACUGCAGCCGGGACACCAGAGGGACGAGGCUGCCUUCAGGAGCUGGUUACAGGGUGCCAUUAAAAGAUGGAGAGAAGAAGGCAGGAUUGCAGUUUGGAUGCACAUUCCCAUCAUGCUAAGUGGUUUGAUCACCUAUGCUGCCACAGAAGGGUUUACAUUUCAUCAUGCUGAAAAUGACACAUCCACACUGACCCUCUGGCUUUUCGAUGGUCCCAGCAAGCUGCCUGGAUAUGCGACGCACCAAGUCGGAGUUGCAGGUGCUGUUUUGGACGAAGUCUCUGGGAAAGUAUUGGUUGUACAGGACAGGAAUAAGACCAUGAAUACAUGGAAAUUUCCAGGAGGAUUGUCUGAUCUAGGUGAAGAUAUUGGAAUAACUGCCGUACGGGAAGUUCUUGAAGAGACUGGCAUUCAGUCAGAAUUUCAGUCCCUUUUGAGCAUAAGGCAGCAACAUAAGCACCCUGGUGCCUUUGGAAAGUCAGACAUGUAUAUUAUAUGUCGUCUGAAGCCUUUAUCUUACAGUAUUAAUUUUUGCCCUCAGGAAUGCUUGAGGUGUGAAUGGAUGGACCUUAAAGAACUUGCGUAUACAAGCAACACCACUCCCAUCACCAGCAGAAUUGCCAAAUUGCUCCUUUAUGGAUACAGGCAGGGGUUUCACCACAUUGACCUUACUGUUAAGACCUAUCCAGCUGUUUACUCUGGACUCUUUUACUCCCUGUACCACAAAGAAUUGCCAGCUACCUAUGAAACUCAAGAAUGACCUAGCAAGUUUCACAGUAAAACAAUACAUAUAUUUGUUAGUGUAUUACUGAAUCUUCAGGAAUGAUAAAUACCUCAACACAGAAACAAUAUACAUCUGGAAGGAAUCGUCACAGCGGUCUGAGCCAGAUAGAAAAGAAAAUGAAAGAGGACAACUCUAAUGAGAGAAGAUAUUGCCUAAACAAUUCACAUAUGGAAGAAAUCGUGCCAGAUAGAAAAUAAGAGGACAUCCCUGAACAGAGAGAAUAUUGCCUGUGAGUCCCACAAAGUUGCAGAGUCCUGAAUGCUGUAAACCUGCAAACUUUUUUCAUCAUGAAACAAGACUGGCAAAGGAUGGACUGCACAAGUGAAUUUCAUUAGUUUGAGACUGGUUACACCAGCUUUCCAGGAGUUAAAGAGGCCCAGAUGAGUAAGUCCCCCAGCUACAGCAUGCUGCGGUAGUAUUGUUAUUCAUUUGGUUCCAAAACUUGUAAUUGCGUGAGGCAGAUCCUGCCCCCACACCUCCAGCCAGCAGCCAAAGGAAACCACUAAUAGUCUGUGUGUUCAGCAUUACAGUGAAGAGCCUUAUAAAGUGUUGUUCCGGUCAUGAAAGUUAAAGACAGUCACCAGAGCACGAUGGAAAAAGUGAACUAUAGAAAACUUUACAAAAAUGCAUUGAAUCAUCUGACCUCAGAAGUUAUUACCUGAACCCACAAUUAAAUCAGCGACAU